CAAAAAUAGAGGUCUCUAAAAUCUAAAAAACAAGUAUAGUGGAUUAACUUAAUUCUAAGUUAAUCCACUUCAUAUUUGAAAUACUUCGAAAUAACACGAAGUAAAUUUUACUAAAACAAAAAAAUGUAUUAUUAAUUGAAAUACGACGAAUUUUUCGCAAUGACUGUUUCUAAUCACUUUUUGAAACAAAAUAAAGUCCUCUAUAAGGGUUCUUGAAGUCAAGAAAGAGAUCAAUAAAGUCUUUACAUGUCGAACAAUUAGGAAAAUUGUUCCUAUUAGUUUUCGAGGUUAAAAUAGAAACUUUCUAGGUAUCUAGACCUAUUGUAUCUGUUUCAAUGUUAUUUCUUGGAACAGAUAACAUUGAUAAAAAAUCKUUUUAAGUAUAGAAACGAUUAUGAUGAUCGAGCCUGGACAUAUCAUCAAUUUUUAUUGUAUAUUAUUAAUAUAUCAUAUCGUACCU
rnacentral:misc_RNA from 1 species